UACUCACUGAUUUGAUUUCAGUUUGCUU
rnacentral:piRNA from 1 species